rnacentral:rRNA from 1 species
AUUGAACGCUGGCGGCGUGCCUAACACAUGCAAGUCGAGCGGUAACAGGUGUAGCAAUACAUGCUGACGAGCGGCGAACGGGUGAGUAAUGCUUCGGAAUCUACCUUAUGGUGGGGAAUAACUAGCCGAAAGGUUAGCUAAUACCGCAUACGUCCUACGGGAGAAAGCAGGGGAUCGCAAGACCUUGCGCCAAAAGAUGAGCCGAAGUCGGAUUAGCUGGUUGGUAGGGUAACGGCCUACCAAGGCGACGAUCCGUAGCUGGUCUGAGAGGACACAAGCCCACACUGGGAAUGAGAAACGGCCCAGGUCCCUACGGGAGGCAGGAGAGGGGAAUUUUGGACAAUGGGGGAAACCUUAAUCCGGCGACGCCGCGUGUGUGAAGAAGGCCUGCGGGUUGUAAAGCCCUUUUAGUGGGGAUGAAAUGUGCAGGGUUAAUACCUCUGCAUUUUGACCUAACCCACAGAAAAAGCACCGGCUAACUCUGUGCCAGCAGCCGCCGUAA